rnacentral:tRNA from 1 species
GCUGGCGCUGGGCACUGGUGAGCCCAACGGCCUGUAAAGCCGCCGCUUCGGCUGUGGGAGUUCAAAUCUCUCCGCCAGCACCG